rnacentral:rRNA from 1 species
ACCAGACUCCUACGGGAGGCAGCAGUGGGGAAUAUUGGGCAAUGGGCGCAAGCCUGACCCAGCAACGCCGCGUGAAGGAAGAAGGCUUUCGGGUUGUAAACUUCUUUUAUCAGGGACGAAACAAAUGACGGUACCUGAUGAAUAAGCCACGGCUAACUACGUGCCAGCAGCCGCGGUAAUACGUAGGUGGCAAGCGUUAUCCGGAUUUACUGGGUGUAAAGGGCGUGUAGGCGGGACUGCAAGUCAGAUGUGAAACCCAUGGGCUCAACCCAUGGCCUGCAUUUGAAACUGCAGUUCUUGAGUGACGGAGAGGCAGGCGGAAUUCCCGGUGUAGCGGUGGAAUGCGUAGAUAUCGGGAGGAACACCAGUGGCGAAGGCGGCCUGCUGGACAUUAACUGACGCUGAGGCGCGAAAGCGUGGGGAGCAAACAGGAUUAGAUACCCCGGUAU